rnacentral:rRNA from 1 species
AUUGAACGCUGGCGGCAUGCCUUACACAUGCAAGUCGAACGGUAACGCGGGGCAACCUGGCGAUGAGUGGCGAACGGGUGAGUAAUAUAUCGGAACGUACCAUUGAGUGGGGGAUAACGUAGCGAAAGUUGCGCUAAUACCGCAUAUUCUCUCCGGAGGAAAGCAGGGGACCGCAAGGCCUUGCGCGGACGGAGCGGCCGAUGGCAGAUUAGGUAGUUGGUGGGAUAAAAGCUUACCAAGCCGACGAUCUGUAGCUGGUCUGAGAGGACGACCAGCCACACUGGGACUGAGACACGGCCCAGACUCCUACGGGAGGCAGCAGUGGGGAAUUUUGGACAAUGGGCGCAAGCCUGAUCCAGCCAUGCCGCGUGCAGGAUGAAGGCCUUCGGGUUGUAAACUGCUUUUGUACGGAACGAAAAGACUCCUUCUAAUAAAGGGGGUCCAUGACGGUACCGUAAGAAUAAAGCACCGGCUAACUACGUAGCCCAAGCAGCCGCGGUAAGCGACG